UAAAGUGGAGUGUUGUAGAUUAAGGUAGAGUGAGGUAGAGUAAAGUACAGUGAGGUAGAGUGUGGUAGAUUGAGGUAGAGCAAUAUAGAGUGUGAUAAAUUGAGGUAAAGUGAAGUAGAGCAAGGUAGAGUGUGGUAAAUUGAGGUAGCGUGAGGUAAAGUGUUGUAGAUUAAGGUAGAGUGGGGUAGAUUGAGGUAGAGUGAGGUAGAGUGUGGUAGAUUGAGGUAGAGUGAGGUAGAGUGUUGUAGAUUAAGGUAGAGUGAGGUAGAGUGUGGUAGAUUGAGGUAGAGUGUGGUAGAUUGAGGUAGAGUGAGGUAGAGUGUUGUAGAUUAAGGUAGAGUGAGGUAGAGUGUGGUAGAUUGAGGUAGAGUGUGGUAGAUUGAGGUAGAGUGAGGUAGAGUGUUGUAGAUUAAGGUAGAGUGAGGUAGAGUGUGGUAGAUUGAGGUAGAGUAUGGUAAAUUGAGGUAGAGUGAGGUAGACAGUUGUAGAUUAAGGUAGAGUGAGGUAGAGUGUGGUAGAUUGAGGUAAAGUGAGGUAGAGUGUGGUAGAUUGAGGUAGAGUGAGGUAGAGUGUAGAUUAAGGUAGAGUGAGGUAGAGUGUGGUAGAUUGAGGUAGAGUGAGGUAGAGUGUUGUAGAUUAAGGUAGAGUGAGGUAGAGUGUGGUAGAUUGCGGUAGAGUGUGGUAGAUUGAGGUAGAGU